rnacentral:rRNA from 1 species
CGGAGGAUCCAAGCGUUAUCCGGAUUUAUUGGGUUUAAAGGGUGCGUAGGCGGCCUAUUAAGUCAGGGGUGAAAGACGGUAGCUUAACUAUCGCAGUGCCCUUGAUACUGAUGGGCUUGAAUAUACUUGAGGUAGGCGGAAUGUGACAAGUAGCGGUGAAAUGCAUAGAUAUGUCACAGAACACCAAUUGCGAAGGCAGCUUACUAAGGUAUGAUUGACGCUGAGGCACGAAAGCGUGGGGAUCAAACAGGAUUAGAUACCCUGGUAGUCCACGCCCUAAACGAUGAACACUCGAUGUUGGCGAUAUACGGUCAGCGUCAAAGCGAAAGCGUUAAGUGUUCCACCUGGGGAGUACGCCCGCAAGGGUG